CCGUAGCUCAGUCGGUAGAGCAGAGGACUGAAAAUCCUCGUGUCGCUGGUUCGAUUCCGGCCGGA
rnacentral:tRNA from 11 species